rnacentral:rRNA from 1 species
GAUGAACGCUGGCGGCGUGCCUAAUACAUGCAAGUCGAGCGAACAGACGAGGAGCUUGCUUCUCUGAUGUUAGCGGCGGACGGGUGAGUAACACGUGGAUAACCUACCUAUAAGACUGGGAUAACUUCGGGAAACCGGAGCUAAUACCGGAUAAUAUUUUGAACCGCAUGGUUCAAAAGUGAAAGACGGUUUUGCUGUCACUUAUAGAUGGAUCCGCGCUGCAUUAGCUAGUUGGUAAGGUAACGGCUUACCAAGGCAACGAUGCAUAGCCGACCUGAGAGGGUGAUCGGCCACACUGGAACUGAGACACGGUCCAGACUCCUACGGGAGGCAGCAGUAGGGAAUCUUCCGCAAUGGGCGAAAGCCUGACGGAGCAACGCCGCGUGAGUGAUGAAGGUCUUCGGAUCGUAAAACUCUGUUAUUAGGGAAGAACAUAUGUGUAAGUAACUGUGCACGUCUUGACGGUACCUAAUCAGAAAGCCACGGCUAACUACGUG